rnacentral:rRNA from 1 species
GAUGAACGCUGGCGGCGUGCUUAAUACAUGCAAGUCGAACGGAGUAUGUAGCAAUACGUACUUAGUGGCGAACGGGUGAGUAACGCGUUGGUGACCUGCCUCGAAGAGAGGGAUAACAGUCCGAAAGGACUGCUAAUACCUCAUGUGAUCAAAGGGUUUAGAAGCCUUUGAUUAAAGGAGUAAUUCACUUCGAGAGGGACCUGCGUACCAUCAGCUAGUUGGUGAGGUAAUGGCCCACCAAGGCGAUGACGGUUAGGGGACCUGAGAGGGUGGCCCCCCCACAAUGGAACUGAAACACGGUCCAUACACCUACGGGUGGCAGCAGUAGGGAAUAUUAGUUAAUGUGCGAAAGCGCGAACUAGCAACGCCGCGUGUGCGAUGAAGGCCUUCGGGUCGUAAAGCACUUUUACAAGGGACGAGGAAGGACGGUACCUUGUGAAUAAGCAUCGGCUAACUCCGUG